rnacentral:lncRNA from 1 species
GUGAUGCUGGCAAAAUACAGGGGUGUGGGGAACCAGGAAGCUGUCUGGCUCAAGAGUGAGUGCUGUUCCCAGGUCCCGCUGCCUUCCAGGGAGCAAGGCGAGGCAGCUCCUGUAUCUGCAGGUCCCCGUCACCAUGCCCGGAGCUUUUACCACCUCCCUCCAUGAAGUGGCCACCUGCCACCCUCAGCCACCGCCCUGGCCGGCAAGCACUUCUGCAGGGGAGUGGGUGACUGGCCCCUCUCCUGGGGCCUGGGAUGCACCACGCUCCCCUCCUGUCUUCCCAGAAAGUUGUAGGCCCUUCCCGGUGCCCAGUGCUGGACCCUGUCCCUCCGUGAUGGUGAGCACCAUGCUGAGCUGCUCCCUCUGCUUCAUCCUCAGGCACAGAGUGAAGACCGUAAUCGCUCCUGUCACCCAUGGCUGCUCUGAGGGUAAAUGCCUUAAAAGAGAUCUGAGGGCCCAGAACAGCAAUUGCCCAGGCAGACCAUAGAAGAAUUCUCUGACCUGCCUCUCCAGAAAGAAGCCAUAAGACCCUCAUCCAGGAGAGUCCUGUCCUAUAUUCCACACCAAAAAUUUUUGGAACAAACUUGUUUUGUUAGGUUCCUUCCAGUUUGUUACAUUAGAUCCUACUCUAGUUCCCCAUCAUACUUCUUCGUGACUGUCCAUGAAAAUACACAGUCUUCCUUGGGUCUUUAGCUCUGCAUCUCUGGAGGAUCCCGUGCCAUGUAAAAUUGUAUUAAAUAUAUCUAUUAUGCCUUUCUUUUGUAAAUCUGUCCUUUGUUACAGGAAUAUGAGCAAUGAAUCUUGCAAUGGGUGAAGAGAUU